ensembl:lncRNA
GUUAGUAACGAAAAACCCAGGCAUUGGUGAGAAAUAUGUCAAGGAUGCAGUUACAGUUGGAGUACAGUUGCACCUGCACCGGGAGAGGUUGAGCUUGGAAAGACUGUGGAGCUGUGGGAGAUCUGAAGCUCUAAAAGGGGGAGCUGAGAGGAACUGACCGACCUACGAUCCCUGCUACUCCCGUCAGGUAGGUGGGGAUACUCCCUGUUUGUUAUGAUGGAUACAAAUACCCUUUUUGAAAUGGAAACACACAUGGCUGAAAAUAGAAAGGAAAAGGUGUCUUUAUAGAGCUUAGCCCUUCAAAAACAACAUAGACAAAGAUAUAUUGACUGUGUGGAACAGCCUGUUUCCCAGCACAAGGUCGGAAAAGAGCUUGAACUUCAAAUAGGAAUAAAAUGUCAAACAAAAGAAUCACAUAUAACUUUACGUAAACCAAUGACAUGUUCCGAUGCCCUCUGCACAACUUUCUCGGCAUCAACGUGAAAGAUCACAGGAAAUGUGUCGAGUGUGAUGUGACAAUUGUGGUUUGUGAGCGAGAACACACACACCUACAGCCUGACACACACAAAUACGAAUCGCUAUAAAUGCAACAAUGAUGUCAAACUGAACCGCAAAUACAAAGUGAGCUGUUUGCACCUUCCUCUCCACCCAGCCAUUACACCAAAUUAUUUUCCUGGCUUAAGUUCCCUCACAUUAAAUUUCACAACCUGACAUUGAUAGCACACAGUCUCGUUCUGUCUUUUCCCCUGUUCCUCACAGUAUAUACACACUAUGUGGACUCAUGGGAUCAUCUACAUUAUCCAGGGCUUUAGUACACCAAACUCAUUUGCACUUCUUAUGUGCAGAAGGGUAUAGGGCCUUCAGAGACCUGGAAACAGUUAUUCUCACCAGCCUUCAAGGUUAUACGUAUACGUCAUUAUGAGUUGUAGUAAAAAAAAAGAACAAGUUUUCGUAUUCAACAGUAGGACACUGACAUACCCUGAAAGAAACCAGAAGAGGCCAAAUGUCAGGACUAGGUUGGGCAGAAACAUAUAAAUGUAUGACAGUUCAUAUGGUUUAUCAAUUACACUGAAGUGGAGUGACACCAGGAAAUGUUUUAAGAAGUCAAAGCUCUGUCUAGGACUAAAGUUACCCAUAAUUAUUAUGGGAGGAAGGGCUGAGAGAAGUUACUGAUGAAGUAACUGACUCUUGACUUGAACCUUAAUGUAACUCACACUCAAUAUUUCAGCCAAAGUGGAGUUUCAGACUAGUUACAGCUGAAAUAAAAACAGCCUUUCUUUUUAACCUCGUGUCUGGUUAUAAAACUGAGCCUAGCUGUAAAUCAAACCUGUGUCCUCGGCAAAAUAUCUUGAGUUGCAAAUUGUAAAUAGUGCUUUGGAGACUUAUAUUUUUUGACAAGAGUACACAAAAUAAAUAUCUAAAUCAUUUUCCAUUUUGGCACUUCUAAUUCCCUAAAAACGCAGAGGUCUAUCAGGCAGAAUCGCGGUUCGCUGUAAAUCUGUCUGCCCUGACUGUGGCCAGCCGAGGGUCACUGAGGAGUCAGAGUUUUGAGGAGGUAUAAAGCAGUUACUUUAUGGCUAUCCCAAUUGUUGUGCAUUAGAGUUAUGUGCAUUGUAUUAGCUCUAAUGAAGGGCGUAAAUUCUCAGUUUUACGAGCAGACCUUUACGAGGAAGGGGAAAUUGUAAAACACACGCUUUUUGCGUUACCAGUGUUUGUCACCCUGCCUCUGGAGUUCACACUGCACACACGCUGUUUUCAUUAACCUGUGGAUGGCUCUGAGAUGUGUGUGUGUAUGUAAGGAUUACGUCUGGGUAAGAGUCUAGUCACUCAUCUGGAAAUCAGCAUCUAGUUGGUUAAUAAGAGGCAAUGCUUAUAUCAAAAGAUUGCAUCGCCGAGUUCGUCCAGGUCGCUUACAGUAUACUUACAUGCACAUUAUUUUCUAUUCUAUAUUUAAUUCUACAGAAUACAUUUUUUUUAUAUUUUAUUCUUAUAUUUUUAUUGUUUACUUUUA